GGUUACGAGGCAGAGUCUCUCUGUCUCUUCUCUGCCUGUUCCUUCCAUCCCACAGUAGGGAAUGAUUCCAACCCAGAUCUUUCUGGCUAGGAUGUCACCCUCCAGACACACUGGACCUGCAUUGAAGGCGACAUUGAGAAGAAGAGCAAGCCUGCCGUGUGCCCUGGGUCAUCACAGCUCCUCAGAGCUGAGGACAAUGUGAGAAGUGGGACCUUCUAAGAGGCUAUCCACGGGGUACAGGAAGUCGCCUCAGGCUCCUGGAGGAGGCGAUGCAGUGUGAGGGGUAGAGCUGGAAGGCCACAGAGGUAUCUCAUGGAACCUGGAGCUAGCUCACCAAGUCGGCUAGAGUAGCCGACUAGCAAGCCAUGGGGACACCCCAGUCUCUGUAGACCCCAAGGAUUACCUGGGAUCCCUGGGGGUCGACUCCAAAGGCCAGGGCCCCCUGCCACCUGUCCCCACCAGAAACCUCCCAUCCUGUUGUCCCUCCAGCAGGGGAGCAGGAGCUAGUGCUGUUGCUAGGCAAGAGGAUGUAGCACAUAUAGAUCUUCCUGGACUUUAAUUAAAAACAUCUUUAGAAGUCGUCU
rnacentral:lncRNA from 1 species